rnacentral:rRNA from 1 species
UACGUAGGGGGCUAGCGUUGUCCGGACUUAUUGGGCGUAAAGAGCGUGUAGGCGGCCAGGUAGGUCCGGUGUGAAAACUCGAGGCUUAACCUCGAGAUGUCAUCGGAAACCAUCUGGCUAGAGUCCGGAAGAGGAAAGUGGAAUUCCUGGUGUAGCGGUGAAAUGCGCAGAUAUCAGGAAGAACACCAAUGGCGAAAGCAGCUUUCUGGGACGGUACUGACGCUGAGACGCGAAAGCGUGGGGAGCGAACAGG